rnacentral:lncRNA from 1 species
AUGCUCCAUCCCUUCUCUCCCUGCCGUGAAGCCUGGAUUUCCCAUGAUGUUGCUGCCUCCCAGGGCAGUGAGAAGCCUUACCCCCCGCUCGCCACUCAGGUGACGUUGCUGAGUUACACCUGCUGCUUGUGCAACGCUCAGCACGGAUCCCUGAGCGCGGAGGAGCAAAACCCCUCGGUGGCUCCUCCCCAAACGCAGCGCUGCGGUUCUGCAACAGGCAGAGCCCGGCCAGGGAGCAUCCUCUGCCGGCGCCCCGGGACGCAGCAGCGCGGGGCGGGUGGCACCUUUCCCAGAACAAAGGAAAUGGACAGUGAAACGUUCAGAAAGCUGCGGUCUGCUUCCAUACCUCUUAUCAGGGAGACUAAGGGCCAGUACACGCUGUGCCAGCGAGGUGCAACCCCUGAACCCAACAGUCCCUCACAAACACGGUUUAGAGGUAAAACCCUGAACAUCUUGAGUGACUGUGGGAGUUGUUAACUCCUGCCAGCAGAACAGUAAACGUGUAUAAAACUCCUUGGAACCAUAAAUUGCUGCACAGUGGCUCAGCAUUGUAAAACGUAACGAUUGCUAGGAAAAGUAACCACAGAUUCUUGUUCAAUCAAGACUUGGUCAGACUUUCCCAAAUGUCCCUGUGUUUUGUUGUUUGGGAACAAAAGGGAUUUUUACUUUUAAAUUGCACCAGAGUACCUCCUACCAUUAUGUCAAAACUGGAAUGUGGGAUUGUGUUUAAACAGUAUUUUCAAGUGAAGCUAGAAUGAACAGGUUUCACGGUGAAUACCGGGACUUACCCAGUUUCUAACCUCUGUCCUGUCAAAAUAAUUGCCCUUCUAUUGCUACUUAUUUCCCUGGAGAACAAUGUCCAUUAACAACACUGGCAGCUCUAAUGCUGAAAAUAGAGCAGGCUCCAUUUGUUCAGUAGGUUGAAAAAUCAGCUGUGAAGCCAACGAAGCCAAAUGACCUUGGAUUUUGCUUGACUUUGCGUUGUCUCUCUACUUGCUUCAUGAGAAAGUUUAUUUCAUAAGCAAAAACCUCCUGCUAAAAAUACAGCUGAAAAACACUGCGAUGAUCUCCUCUACACCCAGGGCAUUGUGUGUUAUGUUAGCGUGAUGCACUACUGACAGCGGUUAAAUACAGCUGAGAAAUUAGGUACACGGGACAAACUGGCACAGAAAAUGGCACCAUCGAUCUAAUCUGUAAUGUGUCUAAAACAUCAGCUGGUCCUAAACUUACCUGGUAAAAUUAAAUAUUUUAAUGGUGACUGAAGUUGAUACAAAGAAGGUUGAAAAGGCUUCUGGGAUAGCUGUAAGUGAAGAUGUAAAUAAAGAUUUAAAAAAUAAGAUAAAUAAGUGGAGG